UACCCCGGCCAAAUAUGCAAUAAAACCAACAAAUUUUACAACCAACGGGACUACAAUCUUCUUCGCGUAAUUUGCCUGUUGAUUAGGUUGAUGUCUCGGAAAAACUCUGCUCGUAAAGAGUUAUUGAUUAAAAAUGUCAGCUUCGCCAUUGAAUACACAGGAGCAAGCAUGCAUCAGUAUGAAAUAUCUUGGUAAAAUGUGUUUAAGAUACCAAGAAACAUGUGCUUGGUAUCGAAAGUGGGUCGUCGAAAAUCCUGACGUUGUUUCUCAAGUGGAAAAGACAUUUCGUGUGCUUUCAUACUGCAUAACGGGUUUUACAGAUGAUGGUCAAAUUCUAUCAGAAUUUGUAUAUGCUUUGUCUAAUCUCUUGGUAUUCUUUAACGAUAACAUCUUACGGCGAGCCAGUGCUAAUCUACAACCAAAGAUAAGUUUAUCACAGGAUCGAUUGAGACGCUUGUUAACCAUCCUUGACCAUGUCUCCGUUUUCUUUGAGCUGGCCUCAAAGCAGUUUUGGGGUGAGUCAGGGAAGUGGACUGUCAUCGCUGCUAUUCAACUGCUUCGAACAAUAUUCCGGCUUGUACUUCUACGUCGUUUGAAAGCAGGCAUGCAAUCCUCGCCUCCCAUUCCAACAUUAAACCGCAAGAACCUCCCUCCUGUCCAGAAAGAAUCUUCCACUGAUACAGAAGAGGAAGGCAAUAACACGAGGGCGCCAUUCACUCUCGGAGCUGUCCAGCCCCAGCCUCUGACCUUUGAGGGCCGAAGGUCGAGAAGAGUUGUUCGGUCCUUGCAUGCAACUCCAGAUAUGGCACUCAGAACAUGGAAGUUACCGCAAACUGAGCAACCCUUCAGGAUAGAGGAGGAUCUUGGCAUGACAGAACUCGCAGGGAUGUCGUUGAUGGGUGAAACUCUCUACAUUUCCAGACCUUUGAUUCACUUAUCCAGUCUCUUUGUUUGGGGAUGGUCGUCAUGGAAACCAUGGUUGCUGUCGAUAACAACGGACAUUGUUAGCUUAGAGAUGAUGCAGAGAGAUGAGAAGUCAAAGUUCACCUCUAAAGAGAAAUCAGAGCUCUACAACCGAAAACUCAUGCUAUUAUUCUACCUCUUAAGAUCGCCAUGUUACAACACAAUUACCAGGACAAGGCUUGAAAGUUUGUUGAAGUCUGUCGGAGGAACUGUCCCUUUGGCAAACAUGCUAACAAAGCCCAUUUUAGAGUACCUACCCAUUUGGCAAAAGAUCUACUCUUACAACUGGGGCAACUAAGGCCCUUUUGCAGGGCGCCUGGAUUUCAAGCACCAUGUUCCCUUUCGAGUACCAAUUUCCUUUAACUCCUUUUUACCUAGAAUUUGGAGUGAGAGUUCCGAAAGGUUGUUGAUCGAAGGUUGAUGUUGAAACCAAUUUUAAAGUUCACUUUCUCCAUUAGAGAAUAGCCCAUUUUAGAGUACCUACCCAUUUGGCAAAAGAUCUACUCUUACAACUGGGGCAACUAAGGCCCUUUUGCAGGUCAGUCUGUACUAUUCACUCGCAGAAGGUCUCAACAGGAGCAGCUAGGGUCCUUCUGCAUGUUUCUACUGUUCACUUGCAGGAGGUCUCAACUGGGGCUUCUAAGGUCCUUCUGUGCAUCUGUUUGUAGGCCUUACCGUUUACUUGCAGAAGGUUUCAACCAGGGCAGCUAAAGUCCUUCAGCGUGCCUGUCUGUACUGUUGACUUGCAGAAGGUCCCAACUUGGGCAGAUGAGGUCCUUCUGCAGGUCUGUCUCUGCUGUUCGCUUGCAGAAGGUCUCAACAGGAUGGCUAAGCUCCUUCUAUGUGAUUGUACUGUCCUAAGUGGUACAAAAGUAAAAAGUUGUGGGACAAGCAGCUCUAUGUCAAAACAGAAAGGACUUGCUCGACCAAGCUUCAACAUAAGGAUAAUCUUUGUUAACUGCCAUGAUUUAUUGCCUAUAUUUUAAAAUUUCACCCAAUUAAAUAUUAAUCAAACAGAUGAGCCUAUGGAGCAUCAAUUAGAUGGAAGCUGUUACAAAUUCAAAAGGGGACAAGAGGUGUUCUGUAAUUAGUGCGGAUCAGGGAUGGUCUGGGAGUGAUGGUUAUAGGUAGAGGACUGACCAACCAGAAGUAAGCUCUAUUUUCACCCUGAACACACAAGUAUAAUAUGGGAUGGCUGUUAAGGUUGAACAAUCAUGAGACCUGCUAAUACAGCCUAGGACUUAAGGCGACCGCACACCUUACGAUUGGUCUUCGACCCAAUUUCAGAGUAAAAUGUAGUAGAAUUUGAUGCUAAUAUCGAGACUUGGAAUAUCUUGCUGUGCAAUGUUCUAAAUCAUCGUACGAAUACCUAUGUUCAAAUUUUUGACUAUGCUGUCAUCCUUCUUAGAAUAAAAGCAAAAUCCAUAUCUAGUCGUAAUGACGUCAUAGCAGUCUUUCGAUUGGCUACGAUUUGAAACUAAUUUGGCCUUUACUUCAAAAUAAAAGCUUGCAAUCUUUCAAAAUGGUUAUAUUAGUAUUCUUUCAAUUGAUUUCAACCUCAAAUAAAAUGAUAUGUUCCAUUCACAUUUUCAGAAAAUGAGCAAAAUGCGAUUUGUUCCAAAAUCGAAUCACGAAGAGUCGUAAGGUGUGCGGUGGCCUUUAGGAUCGUUGACGAAGGAUUUUGACAAUCUGAAGUGAAUGAUGAUCCCUAGUUUGAUCAUAUUCGCACUGUCCUAAUUCUUAUCGCAUUGAUCGGACAGUAUUGUAUGAUGGACAGAUUAUAAUGUACAAGUAAAUGAGCCUUUUGCAAAUUCUGUACGAUUCAAUUUCCUCAUGAUUUGCGACUUCAUGCACCUUUUCCUUAGUUCUGCUCCAACGAAUUGCCUUGGGCACAGUACUCUCAUCUUUAUGAAAAGGGCACAACUAGGUCAGCUAAGCAAUAAUGACCUGCUAAUUUUGGUGCUGUUAUCGGACAAAAAGUCCCAAGUCAUUUUUCUUAUCCAUCCCAAAGCGAUAUGUCUGACAUGCACAAAAGUUUUUAGUCCGGAGUACCCCUUAAAUUCAUGCACUUAUGAAUUAGUUUAUGAUGUGAAAUGGAAACAUUAUACCAGGUAGACGUGUAUGUGUCAAAUGAUAAAUUAUUUAUUUGUAUAGCAAUAAGAAAAUGGUCUAUUGAUACUGUAUCUGUGUGUCACAACUCGUUUGCAAUUCAUCAAUAUGAUGUGGACAAUAGAUUAUAGGUACUCUUGUGGAUAAAUUGCCAAUUCAUCUACUGCCAACUUGUCCGCUCACCACAUGGUCUACCUUAAAUAAGUCUACUGCCAUUCCGUCCAUCAACAUUUUGUCUAACAACCAUUUGGUCCAAUAGUCAUUUGAUCCAAUCAUCUCUUCGUCUAAACACCAGUUUGUCAGACCAUUUCGUCUCAUAACCAGUUGGUCUAAUAUCCAUUUUAUUAUCAUUCAUUCAUUUCACCCAAUUAACACUUAGUCCAAUUAGGUCAAAUGGUAUAUGGACUAAAUGGCUUUUGGACCUACAUGUUAUUAGACGAAAUGGUGAUUAGACCAUGUGGAUAGUGGACAGUCUAAUGGUAGACCAAAUAAUAGUAGUUGGGUUGGUAAUUGGACGAAUUGGCAUUGGAUGAAUUGAAAAUAAACCCUCUAGUGGAAAAUGAAUAACAGUGCCCACUUUAGUUAAGAUUUAUCCAGUUAUAAUGUGAUGAAAAGUUUUUACAAGGGAUGUCUUUUUUUUGCCAGUUUAUCUUGAGAUGUCAUAAAAGACAGCUUGUUAUCAUUUGUCAUCAACGAUUCUUGUCUAAUUUUCAAGUUUCUUCAUUUAUAUAAACUUAUAUUUUUUAAUUGAUUGUUCUUUUUAUGUUAUGUUAUGUUAUCUUGAUCUAUGAAUAAUUCUAGAAGCAACUUUAGCAAUUAUAAUCUAGAUCUAUGGAUAAGUUUUUAAAGCAUAAAUAAUCAUAAUCAUGCCUAAAUACUAAUAUACAAAUAUACAAUGACACUCGAGGAUCUGGCUAAAACUAUUCGCAUCGAAGGAACAUCAUAUAGUACUAUUCUCCCGAGGGCCAUCGGCCCGAGGGAGAAUAGUACUAUGUGAUGUUCCUGAGUGCAAAUAGUUUUAGCCAGUUCCGAGAAUGGGUCAUUGUAUAUUUGUUUUAUAUCCCUUCCACUCAUAUAUAUUCUUCAUACGAUAUUCUUCGUUGAUACCCGACUUUUACAGCAAAACGAUUUUUAAUAAGUCGAUGAUGGAACAAUCGUUGAGAAGUUGAGAAAACAAUAAGCCUUGCCGUAUUGAUCGUCUGUUCAACGAGCGCACCUGGUUAGUGCAGCUCGCCGAAAGUUUGCCGUGGCAUGCAGUAGAGAGUACCGUUGGGCUAAGCAGCGCUCUGCUCGCAUCGCGCCGCACAGCUCGCGAAUCGAGUAGGGGGCGGGGUAAAAAAACGUAUAGUUCACUUUUUCCCUAGGGAAAAAAUGGACUAUGCGUGACGUCAGCAAGGAAAAUGAACUAUUUCAUGGCAAACGUUUUUCGUAGUAAAACUAUUCUUUUUCUCCUUGUGUACACUCUCAAUACAACAAUCUUAAGUAAGGGAUAUAAUAGAUAGUAAUUUUCAUGAUAAUGUGUUUUAUUGGAUAAAUUUACUAAUUUUACUUAAAAAUUCAAUUUAAUCAUGUGCCCAAUGAAAACAGAAUAUCAUUUUAUUUUUUACUUGUUUAUAUUAAACAAUGUUUUAGGCAUAGCAUGGGGUACAAUUUUCAGGAUAUAGUCCUCGUCAGUAGCUUUCUAAGAUCUUAUUUGUUAAUAUGUAAAGUAAGUGCUCAAACAGCUAUUUUAAAUGAAAAUGAAAACAUUUAAAUUAAAAUCCCAACGGCUGGAAAAAAUGUCAUUUAAACUUUAAUGGGUAAAAAUGCAUUCAUUGACUACUACGCUUUUAUAAUAUUGUAGUGUUUGAUGAUACGCGAGUAUGGUUCACAUUACCGACCCUUUACCAAAACUUAAGACAGGCUUUAGUUUAAACUAAAUACCAGGGGCCCGUCUUACAAAGAGUUGCGAUUGAUCUAAUCAAUGGCAACUAUGGACGGCCAGCAACAUCUAUUAUGCAUGUUUGCUCAAAAUAUUUUCUAACUAUGAUUUAUAUUCAUGCAUUCCAUGUUUUUUUGAAAAUUCACUGUGCUUCUCUUUGUUUACCAAGGACAUUGUGCAAAGUUCUGGUAGAGAAAAUUAUGACACUGAUGGAUUUCCAUAGAGUUACGAUUGAUUGGAUCAAUCGUAAGUCUUUGUAAGACGGGGCCCUAAUAUAUGACUAGUAUGAACUCUGCAACUCUUAAAUUGUUUUAUUUUCACAAAUAUUUUAUAGAUUUGAAACAGUUCUAGUAAUGAACAGGGAAAAAAUAUAUUAGCGUUAUUACCAAUAGAUGAAUGCAACUGGGAAAUUAAAUGACAUUUUAUAAACUUUUAUUUCAUAUUUCUAAAUUUCACUCAUUUCAUUGUACCUUUUGAUUUUAUGUUAUUUUAUAUCUAGAAUUUAAGUAUUACAUUUAUACUGAAAUCAUGUAAAUAAGUGUAUAUUUCUAAUUGUAUAUUUUCCUUGGGAUUUUACAGGUUAUGAUCACAUAUGUUCUAAAAUAUAAUGGUUUCUAAUAGAUUUCUAA